rnacentral:pre_miRNA from 8 species
AUCUGUGCUCUUUGAUUACAGUUGUUCAACCAGUUACUAAUCUACCUAAUUGUAACUGGUUGAACAACUGAACCCAAAGGGUGCAAAGUAGAAACAUU